CUCACUGGCUCUCCCUUGUCACGUCAAAAACAUGGUCUCGAAGUGGCAGCUGGUGGCAUUGGCAGUGGUGGUGGUGGUGGUGGUGGCGGUGGAGAAGGCGGAGGCAAAUCACUUAGGAAGGAACAUGAAAUUGAGUGAAGUUGCAGAAGCCAAUGGCGCGCUAUCCUCUCCCUUCGUGGAGGUCAAAGGAUACUCUCGCUCCAGUGACGUUAAGGGAGCGAUAGGGCUGCAAAAGAGAAGUCUUGGUAAAGUCCUAAAGAAAAUAAACAAAAUAGUCUCGAUCAUAAAGAAGGAGAGAACCGAAAAACUCGGACUCUGGUGUUAUGAGAUCAUUAGAUGAGGCAAAAUAUGGAGAUUUAGUGCAGAAAAAAGAGGUACCUUCGUUAGAAUCAAUAAUUAAGAAAGAAAGAACGCAGAAGAGCGGUGAAGUAAUAAUAAGAGGAAUAGACACGAAAGGAUAAUAAUCAACACAUCCACCACACUCUCCAUACUCACCACCUUACUACGAAUACGUCAACAGAGUGAAAUGGAGAGCUGCUCAUGAAAAGAAAGGGUCUCGUGCUCACCAAGACGCUUCACUGGUUUGGCUGGUGCGUCAGGGUACCUUCAUCGUGUUACCAUCACGUCACCUGCACCAAGAUAUAUUAUUUAGAUACACUGAUGUAUUUUUUGCAGGGUUUUUCUCUUUCCUUUUCUAGUGAGGCAAG